UGUCCGAAGUUGCGCGCUCGGUGCAGUC
rnacentral:sRNA from 1 species